rnacentral:tRNA from 1 species
GGCGGAGUGGCGGAAUUGGCAGACGCAGCAGACUCAAAAUCUGCCGUACUUCACUGUGCGUGUGGGUUCAAGUCCCACCUCCGCCACCA